GGCGGGGGAAGCGGGAACAGGCGCUCGGUACCUCCGCCCAGCCCCGGCCCGCCCGGCUGGAGCCGUCCCGGAGGGCGCCCAGACUUUAUUUGGGCUGGGCGUUUUCCUCCCUGGUGAUGGAGAAUAAAGCUGGAUCAGGCUGGAUGGGAGCCAGAGCUCUGCACUGGGAGAGAAACCUCUGAGAGCACAAGAGCCCUUCCCAGUGAGCCCUGCCGUGUGUGCUGCACUCCACAGGAUGCUCCUCGUCUUGAAGCAGGAGCCCCAGCACAGAGGAAGAGAGGCCCACUGCAGUUUGAGCAUCUGUAAAGCUGAGCCUGAAUUUAAGCUAAAAUGUGUUAUUGGACAGUUAGGAUCCAUUCCAGUUCUACCAGAGCUGGAAAUCCCGAGGCUGUGAGCACCAGGAAUGAUGAGGGACCUCAGUGGCAUCAUUUGGGCACUGAGAAAUGCUCCAAAUCUCCCUUCAGGUGACAGGGAAACCUGGGAAGGACAAGGAAUAUUCCCCCAGCUUGCACUCCCUCUCCUCACCGGUGGAAAUCAGAGGAGGAAAGAAAUGAAUGAACGAUAAAAUGAAUUAAAUACCAACAACAAUUUGUUCAUUUUCCAGUUCUCCCCCAGCCUUGCUCGAACUUGGGAAGUGCUAAAUGUCAAUUUAUGAGGUAGCCCAGCUGCUGGUGGCCCAGCAGCUCUCCUUGGAGAGGGGCAGGCACAGCUCAGCUCAGGAGGUCACCGAGGUCCCACAGGGAGCAGUUGCUCCCUGCAUUGUUCCCUGUGGCCCUGGGAGGUGACUCCUGCUCCUGGAAAGCUGGAAUUUCCUGCUCUGGUGAUCUGGAAUCCCUCAGAUGCUCUCCUGCGAGGCUGGAAGCGUUCCUGGGUGCCAGGGGAACGAAGCUCUUCCCCUUCCAGCUGCAGCUUUCUGUGGAGCAAACAAACUGCUGGUGUUUGUCAAUAAAUCCCAGGGAUCUGUCCUUGUGUUUAUAAACUUUGGGGAGCAGAGGAAGCCUCAGGAUGUUUUUGCACAAGGCCUGGCACAGCUUGGCCUUGAUCUCAGCAGAAACAUUCACGUGCAGGUGCUGUUGUUCAGCUUUUAACACAUUGGGGGUUUCCCUGCCAGCUUUCAGGAACAUUAUUCCAAAAUUCAUGCAGGUGGGAGCAAAUGGCUUGGAGGAAUUCCUGAGAACCAAAUGGAAUGGUUUGGAAGAGAAGCCAAAAUUGGAUUUCAAUGUAUCUUCUCAAGGCUCUAAGAGCAUGUGGAUGUACAGUAAAUUGUAAAGAGAUUAUUGGAAAUAGCUGAUUUAAACUUUAUUUUUGAUCCCUUUUGACCAAGGGGCUCACAAACCUCUGCGAGCCUGGACCAAGGCACUUGACUCUGAAGGCAAAAUACAAAUUACAGCUCAGCUCCCAGGAGUUAAUUCAGGAAUUUCUGGCUAAAACAUGCAGGCUGAGGUUAUGAAGACAUUCAGAGCUCACUGUUGAAAUAAUUGCUGAUAAUCUGUGGAAUAAUUGGAGAUUUUCACAGUAGAAAUAAGCUGGAAACUACAGCUGUGCUGAGGUUUGGGUUAAUGAAUGUCCUUGGUGAUGGGAGGCAGGAGAAUCAGCUGGGAAGUUCAUCAUUCCCUAAAUUCUGCUGUUUGGCACAAACUGAGCACUGGGAGCAGGAAAUUGGAUUUUUAUCACCAUUGCCUAUCAGGGAUCAAGUCCUUUCUCCAAGGUCAUGCAGGAAGUAAAAUAAGAGAGAAUGGCCCAAAGGUUCAGACUGGUGUUUGAAUUUGUCCUUCUCUGCUAAUCUUAAAUGUCCACAUCAGCCAAAAUGAAUUUAAAAUAAAGGAGACAUAAGAGUGGAUUUGUAACCAUAAUUUUCCUGGGGAUAGGCUGUGAAAAUUGACUUCUCCUUUGGA